UUCUGCAAAUGAUGAGUUGCAACUUCAUUACCUACAUUGUUUGACAAAUACUUUAGUUAGUGAAAAAAUUGCAAUGACUGCGGCUCAA
rnacentral:snoRNA from 1 species